AAGAAUAUAGUUUAAUGGUAAAACUAUUGAUUUCAAAUCAAUCAUUAAGGGUUCGAGUCCUUUUAUUCUUG
rnacentral:tRNA from 1 species